rnacentral:rRNA from 1 species
UACGUAGGGGGCAAGCGUUGUCCGGAAUUAUUGGGCGUAAAGAGCGUGUAGGCGGUCCGGUAAGUCAGCUGUGAAAGUCAAGGGCUCAACCCUUGAAUGCCGGUUGAUACUGUCGGGCUAGAGUCCGGAAGAGGCGAGUGGAAUUCCCGGUGUAGCGGUGAAAUGCGCAGAUAUCAGGAGGAACACCGGUGGCGAAGGCGGCGCUCUGGGCCGGUACUGACGCUGAGGAGCGAAAGCGUGGGGAGCAAACAGG